UACGUAGGGGGCUAGCGUUGUCCGGAAUCAUUGGGCGUAAAGCGCGUGUAGGCGGUCCGGUAAGUCCGCUGUGAAAGUCGGGGGCUCAACCCUCGAAUGCCGGUGGAUACUGUCGGGCUGGAGUGCGGAAGAGGCGAGUGGAAUUCCUGGUGUAGCGGUGAAAUGCGCAGAUAUCAGGAGGAACACCAAUUGCGAAGGCAGCUCGCUGGGACGUAACUGACGCUGAGGUGCGAAAGCGUGGGGAGCAAACAGG
rnacentral:rRNA from 1 species